GAUGAACGCUGGCGGCGUGCUUAACACAUGCAAGUCGAACGGUGAAGGAGGAGCUUGCUCUUCUGGAUCAGUGGCGAACGGGUGAGUAACACGUGAGCAAUCUGCCCUUGACUCUGGGAUAACAGUUGGAAACAACUGCUAAUACCGGAUACGAGACGUGACCGCAUGGUCAACGUUUGGAAAGAACUUCGGUCAAGGAUGAGCUCACGGCCUAUCAGCUAGUUGGUGAGGUAAUGGCUCACCAAGGCGACGACGGGUAGCCGGCCUGAGAGGGUGACCGGCCACACUGGGACUGAGACACGGCCCAGACUCCUACGGGAGGCAGCAGUGGGGAAUAUUGCACAAUGGGCGAAAGCCUGAUGCAGCAACGCCGCGUGAGGGACGACGGCCUGG
rnacentral:rRNA from 1 species